CCUACGGGCGGCUGCAGUGAGGAAUAUUGCUCAAUGGGGGAAACCCUGAAGCAGCCAAGCAGCGUGCAGGAUGACGGUUUUAGGAUUGUAAACUCCUUUUGUUAGAGAAGAUACUGACGUUAUCUAACGAAUAAGCCACGGCAAAGUCCGUCCCAGCAGCCGCGGUAAUACGGAGGGUGCAAGCGUUAUUCGGAAUAACUGGGCGUAAAGCGCGUGUAGGCGGGAUAGCAAGUGAGAGUGGAAAGCCUAAGGCUUAACCAUAGAACUGCAUGUGAAACUGUUAGUCUAGAGUAUGGGAGAGGUAGGUGGAAUUGUUGGGGUGGGGGGAAAAGCCGUAGAGAUCAGGAGGAAUACGCAUUGCGAGGGCGACCUGCUAGAACAUAA
rnacentral:rRNA from 1 species